UACGUAGGGGGCAAGCGUUGUCCGGAUUUAUUGGGCGUAAAGAGCGUGUAGGCGGUUUGGUAGGUCCGCUGUGAAAACUCGAGGCUCAACCUCGAGACGCCGGUGGAAACCAUCAGACUAGAGUCCGGAAGAGGAGAGUGGAAUUCCUGGUGUAGCGGUGAAAUGCGCAGAUAUCAGGAAGAACACCCGUAGCUAAGGCGGCUCUCUAGUACGGUACUGACGCUGAGACGCGAAAGCGUGGGGAGCGAACAGG
rnacentral:rRNA from 1 species